rnacentral:rRNA from 1 species
UACGAAGGGGGCUAGCGUUGUUCGGAAUCACUGGGCGUAAAGCGCACGUAGGCGGACUUUCAAGUCAGGGGUGAAAUCCCGGAGCUCAACUUCGGAAUUGCCUUUGAUACUGUAGGUCUCGAGUCCGGAAGAGGUGGGUGGAAUUCCUAGUGUAGAGGUGAAAUUCGUAGAUAUUAGGAAGAACACCGGUGGCGAAGGCGGCCCACUGGUCCGGUACUGACGCUGAGGUGCGAAAGCGUGGGGAGCAAACAGG